rnacentral:rRNA from 1 species
GAUGAACGCUGGCGGCGUGCCUAAUACAUGCAAGUCGAGCGAACGGACGAGAAGCUUGCUUCUCUGAUGUUAGCGGCGGACGGGUGAGUAACACGUGGAUAACCUACCUAUAAGACUGGGAUAACUUCGGGAAACCGGAGCUAAUACCGGAUAAUAUUUUGAACCGCAUGGUUCAAAAGUGAAAGACGGUUUUGCUGUCACUUAUAGAUGGAUCCGCGCUGCAUUAGCUAGUUGGUAAGGUAACGGCUUACCAAGGCAACGAUGCAUAGCCGACCUGAGAGGGUGAUCGGCCACACUGGAACUGAGACACGGACCAGACUCCUACGGGAGGCAGCAGUAGGGAAUCUUCCGCAAUGGGCGAAAGCCUGACGGAGCAACGCCGCGUGAGUGAUGAAGGUCUUCGGAUCGUAAAACUCUGUUAUUAGGGAAGAACAAAUGUGUAAGUAACUGUGCACAUCUUGACGGUACCUAAUCAGAAAGCCACGGCUAACUACGUG